GCCACACUUGCAGCAUAUGAAAGUUUCCAGGCCAGGGGUCAAAUUGGACUUGCAGAUGCUGGCCUAUGCCAGAGCCACAGCAACACAGGAUCUGAGUUGAAUCUGCAACCUACACCACAGCUCACAGCCACAGCAGACCCUUAAACCACUGAGCGUGGCCAGGUAUGCGUCGACCUGCAUACCAGUCAGGUUCAUUACCACUGAGCCACAAUGGGAACUCCAAAUAAUCUGAUUUAUUCUCACACUUUUUCGUGAGGAUUUAAACAUGGAGCAAGAGCUUGGAAAAUGGCAGGUAGUCUUAUUUUAUUAAACAUUCAAUAUCUGAUAAACAUAUUAGCAUGAAAGGAAAUAAAAAUAAGUAGCAGGAAAAAAGUCCUACUGAGAGUUUCACAAAGACAAACAGACCAAAAUAUUCAAAUUGACCCUAUGGUGCUCUAAGAUCAAUAUCAACGACAAAAAAGAAUAACCCCAUAGGCAUGUUUUGUAUAUUCUUGCCACUUCAAUUAAUUGCCAAAUGCGUUCAACUCAAAAAUUAACUCAAAUUUAAUAUGUAGAGAUGACUUAACAUAAAGAACUAUAUUUUCUGAUCUACAUAGAUAUGAAAUUUAAGAACACCUUUAUGUAUAAUGAACAUAUUUUUAGUUAAAAUAUACAGACUACUGUGUAACUUUAAACUGAUGUGAAUUCUUAUGGUUGGGCUGUCAAGUAAAGAUAAUAGGUGUAUAUAAUAGAGGUUUUUGAUACAGCACCAUUAUAAUAAACUAGUUCAUAAAUAGCCAAUGCUUCAAAAGUCCAUUAGUGAGGAUUAAAUGGGGCAAGUCCAAUUUUAGUUUCAUCUUCUUACUUGUUCAGUGUACUUCACACAAUUUUGCAAAUGAGCUUUAUAAAGGUUCCUGAGAGAUAUAUCUUUGAUUCGUAAAUCUUUAAGUUAGUGUACCACCACAUGAAUUACACAGCAUUUAAAUAUCAAACAGAAGAAUUUUUCUAUAACUGUUUUCAUUCACACUGCAAUUAUCUGCAUGUCUACUUUCCUUUUUUUAAUUUUAUUUUAUUAGAGUAUAGUUGAUUUACAGUGUGGUGUCAAUCUCUCCUGUACAGCAAAGUGACCCAGCUAUACAUAAAUAUGCACAUUUAUUUACUCAAAAUUUUAAAAUAUGUAUUAUUAUGGCAAUUAUACCAUUUAUACUUCAGUCAUUUCUUGAUGUUAGGUGACUGCUUUCCUCAUGCAUUUUUGUAUAACCUUCUUUUUUUCCCAUUUAUAACCAUAAUUUUUAAAGUGUAUAUUACAUCAAAUAUAUGGGUACCGAAAGAUUUUUGUAAAGAAUUGUAGGAUUAUAAAUAAAUGUAAUUUGUGUUUGCUGAUAUCUUUUUAAAACUUUUUCCAGAUCUUCUGAGAUAUAGUUGAAAUAUAACAUUGUGUAAAUGUAAGGUAUACAAUGUGAUUUAGUACAUGUCUACAUUGCAAAAUGUUUGCAAAACGAUUAGCACAAGUGAUAGUAACACAUUCAUCACCAGAAUGUAUACUUGCCAGUUGCUAAAAGAUUAAAUUUUCACAGUUCUCACCACACACACACACACACACACACACACACACACCCACCCAUACAUUCUAAUUGGUAACACAUAUUUGUGAGCCAUAUUACGAAUUGGCCUGUGACCCACUUCUCCGUGUCUGUUUCCCAAAUUUGUUGAAUAUAAUUUUUUUUCUGAAAUUAGUUUGUUGAAAGGAAGAAUGAAAAAUAAAUUUAAAAGCUGUGAGGCAGAGCUUGGCAAGGGUCAGCAUUGUAUGCCUCCAAGAGCAGGAAGGGAAGUCUGCUCCUUGCUGCCUAAUGGCAAAGAACUUGGCUUUCCUUUUCCAUGGAUGCUGCAGGUGACAGAGCUCAAACUUCUAAAUGUGUCUCCAAACUUCUCAGGUGUAGACUAGGUGCGCUAAUAUUGUCUGCCUCGUGAGGUUGCCUUAAAGACUAAGUUAGUGACUAGGCACAAAGCAGGGCCCUUUAAAGAUCUAUGUAACAGAAACAUGGACGUUAAUUUUUCUGUAUUUUACAAAAAAACAAAAAAAAGGUGAUUUUGUUCAAAAAGUUUUGCUUUACUGUUAUCUUGAUACAAACGCCCAUUAGUGAACUGUAGAGAAAGUUUUGUGUUUCUGUCCCCUAAAAAAAGGUAUAUGAAAAUUAUUACCACAGAUGUAUCAUUUCUGCCCUAGGAAAAGGAAUAAAAGAAGUCAAAGUAAUACCUCCUUUAUAGAAAAUAACCCUAUUAUUCAUCACCUUUACCAAGAAAGCUGCACCAGGAGUCCUGGGCAUUAUGGACUUUGAAAGAUUUCCACUUUGGGGGCAAAGUAGUGGAAGCUGUGUCUGAACAAUUCCAUAUAUAAUAUUUGAGAGAGAAUAAAGAUUAACUAGUUUCUUUUAUAGAGUAUCUUAAUCUUUCCAUCAAAAUUUCAUACAAGGCAUCAAAUUAUAAUCAGUAUAACCCAGAGAAGUACAGCAUCUGCAGACUGGACAGACUGAAAACAAACAUUUGGAUUCCUACUCUUUUCUGGUAAAGAAAUGAAGAUCUAUACACAUUUUUCUAAAGAGCCAUUGAGUGUUCAAGAUGUUUUCUCAGCCCAGGGCAAACAGAAUGAACUCCAGGAGACUCUCCUAACU
rnacentral:lncRNA from 1 species